rnacentral:rRNA from 1 species
AGAUUGAACGCUGGCGGCAUGCCUUACACAUGCAAGUCGAACGGCAGCACGGGGGCAACCCUGGUGGCGAGUGGCGAACGGGUGAGUAAUGCAUCGGAACGUGCCCAGUAGUGGGGGAUAACUAGUCGAAAGAUUAGCUAAUACCGCAUACGACCUAUGGGUGAAAGCGGGGGAUUCGCAAGAACCUCGCGCUAUCGGAGCGGCCGAUGUCUGAUUAGCUAGUUGGCGGGUAAAGCCCACCAAGGCUUCGAUCAGUAGCUGGUCUGAGAGGACGACCAGCCACACUGGGACUGAGACACGGCCCAGACUCCUACGGGAGGCAGCAGUGGGAAUUUGGACAAUGGGCGCAAGCCUGAUCCAGCCAUGCCGCGUGCGGGAAGAAGGCCUUCGGUGUAAACCGCUUUUGGCAGGAACGAACGGCGCGAGCGAUAUCUCGCGUUAAUGACGGUACCUGCAGAAUAAGCACCGGCUAACUACGUACCAGCAGACCG